AACGCUAGCUACAGGCUUAACACAUGCAAGUUGAGGGGCAGCAUGGUCUUAGCUUGCUAAGGCCGAUGGCGACCGGCGCACGGGUGAGUAACACGUAUCCAACCUGCCGUCUACUCUUGGACAGCCUUCUGAAAGGAAGAUUAAUACAAGAUGGCAUCAUGGGUCCGCAUGUUCACAUGAUUAAAGGUAUUCCGGUAGACGAUGGGGAUGCGUUCCAUUAGAUAGUAGGCGGGGUAACGGCCCACCUAGUCUUCGAUGGAUAGGGGUUCUGAGAGGAAGGUCCCCCACAUUGGAACUGAGACACGGUCCAAACUCCUACGGGAGGCAGCAGUGAGGAAUAUUGGUCAAUGGGCGAGAGCCUGAACCAGCCAAGUAGCGUGAAGGAUGACUGCCCUAUGGGUUGUAAACUUCUUUUAUAAAGGAAUAAAGUCGGGUAUGUAUACCCGUUUGCAUGUACUUUAUGAAUAAGGAUCGGCUAACUCCGUGCCAGCAGCCGCGGUAAUACGGAGGAUCCGAGCGUUAUCCGGAUUUAUUGGGUUUAAAGGGAGCGUAGAUGGAUGUUUAAGUCAGUUGUGAAAGUUUGCGGCUCAACCGUAAAAUUGCAGUUGAUACUGGAUAUCUUGAGUGCAGUUGAGGCAGGCGGAAUUCGUGGUGUAGCGGUGAAAUGCUUAGAUAUCACGAAGAACUCCGAUUG
rnacentral:rRNA from 1 species